UGAGGGAAUAUUGGGUCAAUGGACGGAAGUCUGAACCAGCCAAGUAGCGUGCAGGAUGACGGCCCUAUGGGUUGUAAACUGCUUUUAUGCGGGGAUAAAGUGAGGGACGUGUCCCUUUUUGUAGGUACCGCAUGAAUAAGGACCGGCUAAUUCCGUGCCAGCAGCCGCGGUAAUACGGAGGUCCGGGCGUUAUCCGGAUUUAUUGGGUUUAAAGGGAGCGUAGGCCGUCGUUUAAGCGUGUUGUGAAAUGCCGCGGCUCAACCGUGGCACUGCAGCGCGAACUGGAUGACUUGAGUUCGCGGAGGUAGGCGGAAUUCGUGGUGU
rnacentral:rRNA from 1 species